rfam:Devosia sp. 67-54 SCNpilot_cont_1000_bf_scaffold_9, whole genome shotgun sequence.
GUUCCCCGAGGCAAACAUCCCGCAGCGCGACGCGCCCCGGGGUGUGUUUGGC